rnacentral:rRNA from 1 species
ACACUCCUGCGGGAGGCAGCAGUGGGGAAUUUUGGACAAUGGGCGAAAGCCUGAUCCAGCAAUGCCGCGUGUGUGAAGAAGGCCUUCGGGUUGUAAAGCACUUUUGUCCGGAAAGAAAUCCUUGGCUCUAAUACAGUCGGGGGAUGACGGUACCGGAAGAAUAAGCACCGGCUAACUACGUGCCAGCAGCCGCGGUAAUACGUAGGGUGCGAGCGUUAAUCGGAAUUACUGGGCGUAAAGCGUGCGCAGGCGGUUUGCUAAGACCGAUGUGAAAUCCCCGGGCUCAACCUGGGAACUGCAUUGGUGACUGGCAGGCUAGAGUAUGGCAGAGGGGGUUAGAAUUCCACGUGUAGCAGUGAAAUGCGUAGAGAUGUGGAGGAAUACCGAUGGCGAAGGCAGCCCCCUGGGCCAAUACUGACGCUCAUGCACGAAAGCGUGGGGAGCAAACAGGAUUAGAAACCCUGGUAGUCCC